rnacentral:rRNA from 1 species
UACGAAGGGGGCUAGCGUUGUUCGGAAUUACUGGGCGUAAAGGGCGCGUAGGCGGCGUGUCAAGUCAGGCGUGAAAGCCCCGGGCUCAACCUGGGAACCGCGCUUGAGACUGGCAUGCUCGAGUUCGGGAGAGGAUGGUGGAAUUCCCAGUGUAGAGGUGAAAUUCGUAGAUAUUGGGAAGAACACCGAUGGCGAAGGCAGCCAUCUGGACCGACACUGACGCUGAGGCGGCGAAAAGCGUGGGGAGCAAACAGGG